AUUAGAUUUGAGAGGCAGGAAGGGGAAGGAGAGGGCCGGGAACGAUUUCUUUAGCUCCAGUGGUAAGGGCCGCCCCAGAUUUCUGGGGUCCAAGAUAGAAACCGAGUUAAACUACGUUCUUCUGCGUUGCGUCCUCUCUUCCAGGGCAUUCUUUGCGCGCUCCGCUGGAUUUACAGGAAGUGCCUCGGCUUCUUGCGCUGUCGGAACACCUCGUUGUCCCGGUCCCCACCGAGCUCCAUUCUAAGGCACGGGGUCCUUGCCUUCCGAGGACCGGGCUUUGGGGAGCAGACUGGCAGGGGUGACUUGCGUUCCAGAGGCUUAGCGGAAAGCUGGAGGGACGAUGGGUGGAAAAGGACUCAUUAGGCAAAUCUGAUUCAUCCCCUUGACCAAGUCCCCGCAACAGCAAUCACAGAAUCUAUCCUGUCUGGCCUCUCACUGGGAGGUUUUUUGCAUCUCUGAGAAGAGGACCACCACCAUGCACUUCUUUUCUGCUGUGGGGCUCGCCUGCAUGUUUUCCUCUGCUGCCGCUGACCUCCCUGGGCAGCACUAUCUGACGGGCCUGAAGGGAGCCACCUUGUCUUGCCCUUGGACUCCACCAAGACGUCCAGUUAUUGCUUCCAUGUCUUCUUGGUUCUUUGGUUUCUGUGAAGGUAAAAUGAAGAACCUUUACCUGAAGACAUUUCAGUACUGUUCCAUCAGAUACAACUGAUUCUUAGUCAUAAACAGCUAGAAUAUUUCUCAAGGAUUAUCUGAUUUAUGGCUCCACCUCUUUCUCCUUGAUGUAGAAGAGCCAUAUGAUGACUAUCUCUUAACUAAGGCUGUGACUGCAUUAUGCCUGUCCAGCUAUGAGCCACAAUGCCAACCCUUCCGCAACCAAAUGUUUUAUGUGACUAAACUCUAGUUAAUGGGAUUCAGCAGAAGGAAUAUGUGCCCUUCUGGACGGUGCUUUCAAGAGGAUGGGUGUGGUACUCCUUUCUUCCUUCUCAUCGGCCAGGAUGGGGACGAGCAGAGUGACUCUAUGAGCCAAAUGUUGAAGACGACAGGAACUCUUGCCUGGCUGAGUCUCUGAAUGACUGCAACGCAGCAGAGCCUCUGCCCCUCCAGGCUGGGCCACCCCUCGGAACCAUUGUGUUAGAGAGAACUAUGUUUCUGUUGUGUUUGAGGCAUUACCUCUUCAGGCUCUGUGUUAAAACAAGCAAGCCUACCCUAACUAUUGUAAUUAGUUAUGUCCCUCAAAAUUUAGAUG